UAGCCUAAUGGUUAAGGCUAUGGACCGCCAAUCCGGAGACGGCGGGUUUGAUUCCCGU
rnacentral:tRNA from 1 species